AUGCAUCCUGCAUGUUAUUUGAUCUCUCAACAUUUACCUGAUUGUCAUAGUUUUUAAAAUCCAAGUCUUACAAGCUUGUAAUGAACUCCUGUCCCAACUAACGAGGACACUCAAAGUAAUACGACUUGCCCAUGAUAACAAUAAAGUCAUAUAUAAUAUGUUUUGACCACAGCAGAAAAUUCCAACAGAUCAAAUGAGAACUUGUUCUUGACUGUCUUCGCUGUGGGAAUUGUUUUCUGUUCGUUCCAAGAAUGACUGACAGCAAAUGGCUUCCCUGUCCUCAGAUAAGGCCGUGUUAGCCGUCGCUGUCGGGGCUCAAACCCUUUGGAACAGCUCAUCUGAGGAACUUAGGAAAUUCUCUGCCUUCUUUUAAGUCCCCUCUGAAAACCCACUUCUUCCAUGUGGCUUUUUCCUGAUCAUGUUAUCUGUUCCUUAUAGCUCACUACAGGUGGAAUUGCGCAACAAGCAAGCCCACUAUAACUGCUAUCAGAGCGGCUUCACGUGUCUCAGUGGUGAUUGUGGAAGCCUGAACCGAACCCAAAGCGGAACUAUCGGCAGCUAUUCCUACGGUUAUUACUGGUGCCAGAAUGAGGUGAUGAUGACCCGACAUCUCUCCAGCAACCUACCCUUUGAGCUUCGGUAUCCCGUCCCCAAUUAUUAUUACCAUGGCCAGGGAUACUGGAUACCAAACAUCGCGAACUCCUGAGCUGUUUGGAUGAUGAUGACACACGUGAACCUGGGAAACCGAUCUGAUACUGGGGAACCCAACAGAUCUCCCAUUGCCACCAUGCUGCCUUUUCUCAGAAUACCUCGAAACUGUCCAAGGACAUAUCGUCUGACAGUUUUUGAUCCUGACGGUGACCGGGUCAGAUGCCGGUAUGGAUUAUACGAUGAAUACGAAUGCAGCAUGUGCUCCCUACCUCAGGGUUUCUCUCUUGAUCCGAAUUCCUGCACGCUGACAUACUCUCCUGUUGGACAACAAGGAUUACGUGGAUUUGAGAUUGUAGUGGAGGAUUUCCCCAGACAGCCCAUUACUCUGUCCUACUCUGAUGGAUCCUACACCACAAAAAAUCCCUUUUCUGAAGGAAGACGGAAACGUGAGAUCAUAAGCAAU